AGAGGGAGACACAGAAUCAGAAACAGGCUCCAGGCUCUGAGCCAUCAGCCCAGAGCCUGACGCGGGGCUCGAACCCACGGACCGCGAGAUCGUGACCUGGCUGAAGUCGGACGCUUAACCAACUGCGCCACCCAGGCGCCCCCAUGAAGAUGCAAUUCUUAUGAAAAUCUGCAGAUCUAUCCACUUUCUGCUGUAAGUGAAGCAACAGGCCGACCCUGCACUGCCAGAUGGAACGUGUGCAGCACAUUUCCAACCAGGCUGUUUCCGAGAGAUUCCCCAUCUAGCAAGAUUCACACCAGGCAGUCGGACCCAGACUCACUACGCUCAGAGCUAGCAGGUGCUUGGAGUUCAGCGUAGGGUUGGUCUGGAAAUGCAUGCAGGAUCUCAGCACAGAAACUCAGGAAACACGCAAGAAACCCUCAAGAAGUUGGAGAACUCACUACCGCUGGAUUUUUGAUGAAUGAUAUC
rnacentral:lncRNA from 1 species